ensembl:misc_RNA 7SK 7SK RNA
GGAUGUAAGAGCAAUCUGACUGUGACAUCUAUAACCCAAUUGAUCACCAGAGUUGAUUCAGCUUAUCUGGCUGGCUAGGUGUGUCCCCUUCCUCCUUCACUGUUCCAUGUGUGUCCCUCCCAGACAGGCUUCCUCAAAUAAAUAUGGACUGUGUUUGGUUGAGAGAGUAUGAGUAGCUGUGCUCCCCUACUAGAACCACCAAACGAGCUCUCAAAAAGCUAGACUCUAACUUCUUAGGCUGGCCAAAAGACACAGAACUCUAGAAUUCUGAAGACUCU